GAGCCGAGGGUCAGCUACUCCAGCUACCAGGUGCCUCCCACUUUCCCUCCGCUGGUCGGGGAGGGGGCGCUCUCAAACACUCUUAGAAUUCAACCCUGGAGCAAGCUUUUCAAAGCCGAGCUCAUCCCAGCCAUCUCGCUGCACCGACGCUGCACGGCCACCCCUCCACCCGUGCUCUCGACCCCACCUCCCUUCCUCUGUCAUGUGCGCGCCUUCUUCACAGAACCCAGGGCUUCGCGCUGAGCCGGUCCGGACUGGCCAGGGAGUGUGGCCGCGCCGGGGGCCAAGGGCCGGUGCAGCACAGCGGGUGGCGUCGCCAAGGGCGCUGGCCUUGACGUCCCGAGCUUUUAACUGACGGACAGCCACCUCCCACACACCCAGCGCUGGCGCUGCAGCCAAGCAGUGACUGACAGUUACAGGGGACCGGGCGGCCCGUCCCCUGAAGCCCUAGCGCAGGCGACGAGGGGCACCGGGGACAAGGGGAGCGCUCACCGCCUCAGGGAGUCCGACACCUGCAGCGCCUCGGCGGCCCCGGACGAGGGGCUCGGCGUCGCUGCUGGAACGCCGGCCCCGGGCAUCUCAGUCAGCGCAGUUCCCAGCGCCUCCCUCACCUCCCUCGCCUCGGCCGCGUCCUCGGGCGUUGAGCUCCGGGCAGGGGUCCGCCUACCAACAAGGCAGCCAAUGGGCACCGAGCGCGGGAAGCCUGGGGCGGGGCCUGGCCGGCGGGUCUCCCAAGUCGCCCAGGGCUCAGGAAAACCGCACGGAAUUUCAGGCUGGAGCUGACUAGCAGAGAAAGAAGAUCUGUAUUAAGAGACAGGCUUCUGACCUGGAGGGCGCUUCCCUUUUUCGACAAAUAGGUCUUGACUGCGUGAUGGUUCACACUGGGCAGGAUCUAGAAUCACCCAGGAGACCAACCUCUGGGCACAUCUGGGAGGGAGUUUCUAGACUAGGUAAGCGGAGGGGAUGCGACCCAUCCUGACUGUGGACAACAGUGUCCCAAGGGCCCGGGGUCCUGGACUGAAAAGGAGAAAUGGAACCGAACACUAGCUUUCAUGGCUCUGCUUCCCGAGAGAGGGUGAAAUGUGACCUCAUGCUCUGGAUGCCUUGACCUCCACCAUGACCUUCAAACUGCGAAUCAAAAUAAGUUCCUCCAUAACUUGGUUUUGUCGGGCAUUUAUUAUUUUUAAAAGAUGUAUUUGUUUUUCUAUGUGUGAGUGUUUGCUUGCAUGUACGUGCCCGCAAUCAUGUCUUUAUGUAGUAUACCAACUUUCUGUCCGCUCAUUGCUUUGGCUUAUUUUUCUUUUUUAGUUCGGUAUGGCUGAAGAUUGUAAAUGUCCCCUGGCUUCCAGCAGGUGACAUUAGGAACUUUCCAUCACAGUGCCCUCUCAGAAGUAGGAGGUCGUGACAGCCCCACCCUCCAAAGUCACGUGAGGUGAAGAAUCCCCUGCUGCCGUGGUGUGCUGCCGUGGUGUGCUGCCCCAGCACAUGAAGUACAGGAACCAUGGACUGAAGCUCCUGAAACCCUGACCCCGAACAAACCUUUCCUCUUCUGAAUUGUUAGUCAGGUUCUUUCCCACAGUAACAAAGAAAAAUCAAAACAGUAGCCAUCAAGAAAUGCAAAUCAAAACUCUAUCGCCCACAGUGCGAAGUAUAUCAUUUUAAAUAUACAUAAUAUAUAAUAAAAAGAUAACAAUGUCAUAGCGUAUUUAAUUUAGAAAAUAUUGUAACAAGUGUCAAGCAUUAUGGACUGAAUUGUAUCCUCUAACAUUAGAUAUUGAAGCUUUAACCCCCGUCAUGUGACUGCAUUUGAGAAAAGGUAUUAAGAGAGGUAAUUAAGGUAAAUGACAUCAUAAAGGCAGACUCCCAACCCAAUACAACAGCUGUCCUUAUGAGAGGAGGAAGAGCUGGGCAUAUGUGCACACAAAGAGAAGGCCAUGUGAUGUGAGGGGUGGCACAGUGGUGCACACCUGUAAUCCCAUCUCUAGAGAGGCUGAGACAGAAAGAUUGCCAUGAGUGUGAGGUAUAUAGGGAGACCAUCAUUCAAACAAAUGAAACCUUAUCAUCUGCUGACAACCAUCUUGAAUUUCUACCCUCUAGACCUGUGAGAAAAUAAAGUUCUUGUGUUUAAGCCACUCAGUCUGUGGUAUUUUGUUUUGAUAGUUCUAGCCAGUUAA